rnacentral:misc_RNA from 1 species
GAUGAAGAACGUAGCGAAAUGCGAUAAGUAAUGUGAAUUGCAGAAUUCAGUGAAUCAUCGAAUCUUUGAACGCACAUUCGCCCGCCAGUAUUCUGGCGGGCAUGCCUGUUCGAGCGUCAUUUCAACCCUCAGGCCCCCAGUGCCUGGUGUUGGGGAUCGGCCCAGCCUUCCUGUAAGGCCGCCGGCCCCGAAAUCUAGUGGCGGUCUCGCUGUAGUCCUCCUCUGCGUAGUAGCACAACCUCGCAGUUGGAACGCGGCGGUGGCCAUGCCGUUAAACACCCCACUUCUGAAAGUUGACCUCGGAUCAGGUAGGAAUACCCGCUGAACUUAAGCAUAUCAAUAAGCGGAGGA